CCUACGGGGGGCAGCAGUGGGGAAUAUUGCACAAUGGGGGAAACCCUGAUGCAGCGACGCCGCGUGAGUGAAGAAGUAUUUCGGUAUGUAAAGUCCUAUCAGCAGGGAAGAAAAUGACGGUAUCUGACUAAGAAGCCCCGGCUAACUACGUGCCAGCAGCCGCGGUAAUACGUAGGGGGCAAGCGUUACCCGGAUUUACUGGGCGUAAAGGGAGCGUAGGCGGCCAUACAAGUCAGAAGUGAAAGCCCAGGGCUCAACCCCGGGACUGCUUUUGAAACUGUGAGGCUGGAGUGCAGGAGAGGUAGGCGGAAUUCCUGGUGUAGCGGUGAAAUGCGUAGAUAUUAAGAGGAACACCAGUGGCGAAGGCGACUUACUGGACUAUAACUGACGUUGAGGCUCGAAAGCGUGGGGAGCAAACAGGAUUAGAUACCCUUGUAGUC
rnacentral:rRNA from 1 species